rnacentral:lncRNA from 1 species
UGAUAGUAUCAGGAAAACUAUGAACAAGUAAUUGUUUGAAUAGUUUUUUAAUAUCAUUUGAGCGAAGAUAGAAUUUUUUUUUUCCAUUUAAUAUAUGCAGUUGUAGAAUUUUGACAUAAUAUUAUUUCAGAAUGAUGUCAAUAGAUCAAGAGGAAGCCAAGUCUUGAUUUUUUUUUUUUUGACAUUUUUCUGCCUGUUAAAAUCCAAAAACAAGAUUUGUUACUGCAACUUUGUUUAGGAGAAAGAGAAAGAGAAAGGGAGAGGCUAAAGCUGGGCUUGCCCAACCAAUAGUCUGGGAUAGUUUUCACAUGGGAAAUGUUAGGGAGGUUUUGAGCUAUAGUUGUUGCUUUUAUAACUACAUUUCCAUUGUUUAGUUCAAUGGAUUUGCAAGAGAGAAGAAUGCUUAGUCAUUCGAUCUUGGAGAGAGCAUCGAAGAAGCCUGUUGAUCCAAAUUCUAAUGCUUGAUCUAUAAUUCUCUCUUUAAGCCAAUAAAUACAUGCCACUAGGCAUCAUCAAAGCCCUUUUCUAAUUCCAAAAAUUCCAAAUGCGGCUAUUAACCAACCCCCCUAUCUAUGAAUAGUCUUUAUUAGAAGAGAAUUAGAUCCUU